rnacentral:misc_RNA from 1 species
GUUGAAGAACGUAGCGAAAUGCGAUACUUGGUGUGAAUUGCAGAAUCCCGUGAACCAUCGAGUCUUUGAACGCAAGUUGCGCCCGAAGCCAUUAGGCCGAGGGCACGCCUGCCUGGGCGUCACACGUCGUUGCCCCCCCAUCUACUCCUUCGGGAUUGCGGGGGGCGGAUGAUGGCCUCCCGUGCGCCUCGUCGCGCGGUUGGCAUAAAUGCCAAGUCCUCGGCGACGCACGCCACGACAAUCGGUGGUUGCGAAACCUCGGUUGCCCGUCGUGUGCGGUCGUCGCGCAUCGAGGGCUCGAAAAAAUUGUCGGGCUCCGGCUCGGCUUUCAACGCGACCCCAGGUCAGGCGGGGUUACCCGCUGAAUUUAAGCAUAUCAAUAAGCGGAGGA